AGGAACAGAUGUGCUACUGAAAGAGAGACAUCCUAUUAUCCUGGAAAUGUACUCCAUAAUGAAGAACAAGGGGAAAAAGAUCAGAAGAUUCAAAGAAUUAGCUGGACUAUGUCUCCAGGUGGAUGACUCUAUGGAAACUUUGAGCUGUAUGGAACAACCUCCUGAUCAUCCAUUUACCUUGCUUUGGUACAUUAGGACUUUAAUAGAAACUGCCUAAUGUGCAGGUAAAAAACUAUCAGGACUCAAAACAAGGCCUGUCCAAU
rnacentral:lncRNA from 1 species